rnacentral:rRNA from 1 species
AGCAGCCGCGGUAAUUCCAGCUCCAAUAGCGUAUAUUAAAGUUGUUGCAGUUAAAAAGCUCGUAGUUGAAUUUUGGGUUUGGCCGAUUGGUCCGUUCUUGUAACGAGUACUGGUCGGUUGGGCCUCACCGCUUGGUGAUGCGUAAUGCCCUUUAUUGGGUGUUGCGAGUAGCCAAGACCUUUACCUUGAAAAAAUUAGAGUGUUUAAAGCAGGCAUAUGCCGGAAUACAUUAACAUGGAAUAAUAGAAUAGGACAACGAUUCUAUUUUGUUGGUUUCUAGGACCGUUGUAAUGAUUAAUAGGGAUAGUUGGGGCAUUAGUAUUCAAUUGUCAGAGGUGAAAUUCUUGGAUUUAUUGAAGACUAACUACUGCGAAAGCAUUUGCCAAGGAUGUUUUCAUUAAUCAAGAACGAAAGUUAGGGAUCGAAGACGAUCAGAUACCGUCGUAGUCUUAACCAUAAACUAUGCCGACUAGGGAUCGGGCGAAGUUGUUACAAUGACUCGCUCGGCACCUAUCGGAAA